rnacentral:rRNA from 2 species
GGACUACAAGGGUAUCUAAUCCUGUUUGCUCCCCUAGCUUUCGUGCCUCAGUGUCAGGUGUCGUCCAGAGACUCGCCUUCGCCACUGGUGUUCCUCUCGAUAUCUACGCAUUUCACUGCUACACCGAGAAUUCCAGUCUCCCCUCCGACCCUCCAGCCAGAUAGUAUUCAAUGACUUUUCGGAGUUAAGCUCCGAGCUUUCACACCAAACUUACCUGGCCACCUACGCACCCUUUACGCCCAGUGAAUCCGAACAACGCUUGGGACCUCUGUAUUACCGCGGCGGCUGGCAC